CGGAGAUUAUAAAUUAACCGUUCUUCAUCCGUCAUCAGCUUCAAUUUCAACUUCUUUGACCUCCGUAUCUCCCUUAGGGUUUUGCUUGACUCAUUCUGCAUUCUCAUUGCUACUCUGCUCCUCAUGCUCUUCCCCGACAUCCACCGCACUCCACCACUGCAAUUCCACAGCUUACUCGUUGCAGUAAAUAUAGGAACUUCAACAUUUUUCACCGUCAUGCUUGAAAUCAUAUUCACCAUAUCGUAUCUCCGCAGAAUCGCAUUCCUAUAGUUUACAAAAAUCUUUAAUAAUUAAAAUUAAAUUUAUCUAAAUCCCGACAUCCACCGCACGCAAUUCCACACAUUAGGAACUUCCACAUUUUUUACCGCCUUAUUUGAAAUCAUAUUCAGUAUAUCGUGCCUCCGCAGAAUCGCAUUCCUAUAGUCAAAAAAAACUUUAAAUUUAUCCAAACUUAACUAACAAAAUUAGAAAAAGAAGAGAGAGGAAAUAUACUGCAGAGAGCGCCGUUGAAUGUAUCUGGAAACAAACAUGAUGGCGCUAAUUUAGAAAUCGUUCAAGCUUCUGGUUUCAUUUUACCGUCUUCAGCGGAGUGGGAGAGUGGAUGAGGAAAGGGGACGAUGGAAUUAAUUUGGGGGAAGAAGGAGAAUAGAAUAUAACUGGCUAACAAAGUUAGUCCUUUAACCUAAGUUGAGCUUUUCCCGUUGGUUUUGGGAACUCAGUUGACGGUUAGACCAAACCUGUCC
rnacentral:lncRNA from 1 species